UAAGUACAAGUGCCGGACUGCCGGGUCGCACAGGGCACAGGUCAGUGCAAAACAAGGAGACGCAGAGGAGGUACAUCUGCAAAAAAUGUUCAGGAUGUCCAGUUUUUUUAAGAUGUCAUUGAUAUCAAAUUGAUUUGGAAAGUCUUCAAGAAAUUUCUUCGAUUGGUGAGUGUUUCUUUAUUAUAUUUUGUCCUUUUAUUUGCAGGGAAAAUGUUCUAUGAAACCAGGGUUUCUACUCACCUGGAAAACCUAGAAUUUUCAGGACAAUUUUAUGUACCGGAAAGUGCUUGGAAAUAUCCGGGAAUUUUAUGAAGUCAGGGAAUUUUUGAGAGUACUCUUAAAAUUUGUUUAAAUUGUCAUAUAAAAUUAAAUACAUUUUUCUCAGUUUUAGAAGUAACUUGUAUAAUACUAGAUUUAAACAUACUUAAAUCAAACUUCUUUUUAACCAGGACAAAAAUACCAAUUUUAAAAAUAGAAAAACACAUUUUAACAAUAUAUUGUCCAUUUUAGCACGGUUCACAAUUUAUAAAGCUACAAUCGAAAAUAUAAAAAUUCUCAAUUGUUCCCGUCUCAACAAUUUUAUUUGAAAAUCAUCUUUUUUCUUUGAAAUAUCUGCUAUAACAUUAUUCGUUGAGAAUAAACCUAUUUAGCAGAAAAUUUAAUUAUUUUGGUGGGUAGCAAAUCAUUUUUUUUUAAAUUCAUCAUUUUUGUUGAAAACUUACCACUGCUUUGUUGACUACUUGUUUUCGUUACAAUUUUUUGUUAACUGAAAAUAUAAUUAUUAAAAUUUGUCUGAAAAAGUAAUUUUUUUUUAUGUUAACAUUUCAACUACUUCAGUAAAAGUUGAAAAAAUUG